UUGAGCGAACUCGAUAGCGUUAAGAGCUAAUUUCUGACGAUCCUAAAAUUAUGAAUCCAAAAAUCCUAAAAUUAUUAUUUUAAAAAUUUAAUUCGGUGAAGGAAUUUACUUAUAGUAGUUAUCAAUAAAAACCUAAAUAUUAAUGCAGUGAAAAACUUAUUUAACGGAAAUAAGUGUAUACGGCAGAGUGGUUACGAUAGUAAUUCACGUGGCAACAACUAUCGACGGAAUAAACGACAUAAAUAAAGCGCGAUACGCAAGCAACAAUUUUUUAAUUCGUUUUACACGAUGUCGACCAAGUCCGGAUCUAAAUCCUCUGCCCCCAAUAAAGGAAAUUGCUCAGCUACUCAAUCUAUAUGCACGCGUAAUGAAAGAACUCUCAGCUCUAAAGCGGAGGCUUCAAAUAAAGAACUCCUUCUCAACCCCAACUCAAAUAUUUCUAAUCGAAAAACUCCCUCGAUCAAAAGUACCCGUUCUAAAUCUUCCCGUGCGAGCUCACUAAAAGUCGGUCAGAGUUGUCGGUCCUGUUAUUGCGCAGACAAUAGUCGUAUGGUACAGUGUGACGACUAUGAUAAGUGGCAUCACUUUAAUUGCGUUGGUGUUGAUAGUCAGAUCGAGAUGGUCCCGUGGCAGUGUGUUGAGUGCGAGAAAGGGGCAGACCGAAACCGUAAAUUCGAUAAACAACCCGGAACGGCAAAUGUAGCAAACGCUAGCAGCGUAUCGAAACAAUGCGCUUCAUCUGAGAGCAAAAGGGAUCACCAAAAAUUGGGUCGAGACACGAUUAAAUCGACAGAUUCACUGUCAGUAUCGUCCAGACGAUCAUCUAUAAGGACUAUACAACGUUUAGAAUUGCAACUUCAGAAACUCGAAGCUGAGCAGACACUUCUAGAUGAGAAGAAGAACCUGAUUGAACAACAAUUCAGUGUCCUUGAGGAGUUGGCAAGUUUGAAUGAAGAAGAAGCAGAAGAAGUUGAAUCAAAAAAUGAUUCCAAGGUUCAAUAUUGGUUGAAUAGAAAGAGCGAUGCAUGCCGGAAUUGUGCUUCGUGUGAAGAGUUUGUGAAUGAGGAACAGUCAGAAAACAGCAGUGAUUCUUCUUCAGAAGAAGAGCAGGAACAACAAACAGUGCACGAUUUACCCCACCUUAAUCCAAAUAAGCGCUCUACGCCAAGGAGAAAGCACGUCAUCGAGCGGGGAACGAUUGCAACCAGCAACCAGUUCAAUUGUAGCCUGUCACGUAAUCAACUCGCCGCGCGCCAAAUUGUUGCUAAAGAUUUGCCUAUCUUUACAGGCAAUCCUGAGGAUUGGCCACUUUUCUUCUCAACCUAUAAAAGCACGACACGGAUGUGUGGUUACACGAAUGAUGAAAACAUGAUUAGACUGAGAAGUUGCCUGAAGGGUGAAGCCUUUACAGCAGUACGAAGCUAUCUGCUUUAUCCAUCAACGGUGCCGAGAGCGAUGGACGCUCUCAAACUUAGGUUCGGUCAGCCUCAAUUCAUAAUACAUUCGCAACAAUUGACGCUUGCGGUCGGAAGGAGUAUAGGCGAGAUGUUUCAUUGUUAAGCGAUCUUGUGGGGAAGCUCCCCACCUCAAUGAAGUUAGAGUGGGCGAGAUAUAUGAAAGGUUUACGAAAGGUGAAUCUGGCAGAUUUUAGUGAAUGGCUAUACAACAUCGCCGAAGACGCCUGCUUGGUCUCGGAGCCGAGAAAAAUUCAGGAGACCCUAUGUCAUGACACGCGUAAGAAAACAAAACCCUUCAUUAACACACAUGCUGAACAGCCUAGUUUGCGUAACGAAGAUUUACCUGGACCGAGUAAAAUUACGCAUAAGACGAUCGGCGAGCAAAAGAAACCUACGAUGAGAUUAUGUAUUGUCUGCAAAGGUAACUGUGCACUUUUAAUAAAAUGUAAGCGUUUUUUGGAUCUUUCUUACGAUGGAAAGUGGGCAACUAUACGCGAGGCCAGAGUCUGCCGCAAAUGUCUGAAGCAGCAUAAGGGAGGGUGUAUGUCGAAGGAAUGCGGCAUAAAUUCAACAGCUAAUAAUGAACAAGCAAACGAAGCACAGGCGUGCAACACUCAUCAGGGAGGAUCCAGUGCCAUCCUCUUUCGCUAUGUUCCGGUUGUAGUAUACGGUGAUGGUAACAGUGUACAUUGUUAUGCAUUCUUGGACGACGGAUCCUCGUUAACGCUAAUGGACCAAGACCUAGCUGAGGAGCUGAAUCUUUCAGGAGAGCCCAAUCCGCUAUGUCUCAAAUGGACAGGAGGUACACACCGUUCGGAAAACAACUCACAUAAGGUAGCGUUGGAUAUUUCUGGUCUUAAGGGUAAGCGUUUUCACUUUGAGAAUGUUCGAACAGUUAGUGAGCUUCAGCUAUCAUCUCAAUCACUCAAUGUUAAACAGCUUCAAUCUGAAUACCGUCAUCUUAGAGGUGUCCCUGCGCAAUCGUACCGAGACGUCCGCCCACGCCUGCUAAUCGGCGUUCAGCAUGCCUACGCGACACUCGUGCGAAAAAGCCGAGAAAGGAGGGUUGGUCAACCUAUUGCAAUAAACACCAAUCUUGGAUGGACUAUAUAUGGUGGAGCCUCAAACGGUCAAUCGAUGAGCAUGCUACACUACGCAUAUCAUGUCAAACAAUGCAAUCAGAUGAUGUCGAUAAGAUCAACGACAAUAUGGAACGUGCGUUAAAAGAUUUUUUUGCUAUUGAGAGCUUAGGUGUUACUUCCUCUAAUAAGGAAAUCCGCUCUCAAGAUGAUGAACGGGCCAUUCAGCUUCUACAUGAUCUCACUCAGUUCAAUGGAAAGAGAUACGAAACAGGUUUAUUGUGGAGAAACAAUAAUGUAAAAUUGCCGGACAGCAAACCAAUGGCUUUAAAGCGAAUGUAUAGCAUGCAACGGCGCAUGGAAAAGGACCCAGACUUGGCGCGAAUUCUGGACGAAAAGCUGGCGGAUUAUCUAAAUAAGGGCUAUAUACGCAAACUUACCACCGCGGAGCUGGAGGAAAACCACAGACGUGUUUGGUACUUACCUGUAUUUCCAGUGACUAAUCCAAAUAAACCAGGCAAGGUUAGGCUUGUCUGGGAUGCGGCUGCUGUGGUGAAUGGUGUCUCGUUAAAUUCAUCUCUACUUGCUGGUCCUGAUUUGUUAACUUCGCUAGUUUCUGUCCAACAAGUUCCGCGAGCAUCGUUUCGCAAUAUGCGGUGACAUUCGCGAAAUGUUCCACCAAGUUAAAAUUCGUAAUGAAGACCAGCACAGUCAGCGCUUCUUAUGGUGGGACAGCGAAAAAACUCAAUACCUAUGCGAUGCAGGUGAUGACGUUUGGGGCAUGCUGCUUACCCGCGAGCGCGCAAUUUAUAAAGAACCUGAACGCAGAGCGUUUCAGUGAAGAUCUGCCAGCCGCUGCGAAAACGAUAGUACAAUGUACGUACGUUGAUGAUAUGUUGUGUAGUGAGGAAACGGAAGAAAAGGUCAUCGAAUUGGCGAAAUCAGUCCGAUUUAUCCACGAGCAAGGCGGCUUCGAAAUCCGUAAUUGGACAUCAAAUUCGAGGUCAGUUCUGGCUGCACUUAAGAGUGAGACGUGUUUAUCAAAAAACCUCGAUCUAUCAUCUAGUCUGGCAACUGAAAAGGUUUUAGGCCUCUGGUGGUGUACCGAUUCAGAUUGCUUCACCUUUAGAAUAAAUUGGAGCAGAUUAGGAGAAGAUCUACUAAAGGCAAAGCGGCGUCGCGGGAAAAGGGAGGUUCUGCGAACUAUGAUGUCUAUAUAUGACCCGCUAGGUCUUGCAGCACAUUAUCUCAUGUAUCUCAAAAUGCUUUUCCAAGAGAUCUGGCGAUCUGGUGCUAGUUGGGACGACGAGAUCAAUCAGCAAUGCCUUGAAAAAUGGCAGACAUGGCCUAAGCUUCUACCCGAAAUAGAGAAUUUAAAGAUUCCACGAUGCUACAGACUCCGAACGUCAGCUGGUCAAGAAACGGAAAUUCAGUUGCAUACAUUCGUCGAUGCCGGUGAGAAUGGUAUGACAGCCGCUGUAUAUCUUCGCUAUGCAGAAAAAGGGAAGGUCGAAUGCUCACUUGUUGGCGCGAGAACCCGCGUAGCACCGCUCAAAUAUCUCACCAUCCCAAGACUGGAGCUUCAGGCGGCGGUAAUUGGGGCAAGACUAGCCCACCUUAUCAGUGAAGGAUUAACCAUUAGCAUCACAAAAUAUGUAUAUUGGUCAGAUUCAAGGAACGCGCUUUCGUGGAUAAAAGCUGAUCACCGUAGAUACAGACAGUUUGUGGCUACACGUGUAAGUGAAAUUCUGGAUUUGACUAACGUUUCUGAUUGGAACUGGGUUCCUACGAAGUGUAACGUGGCGGAUGAGGAAACAAAAUGGAGAAGUCGUCUAGUACUAACGAGUGACAGCAAAUGAUAUAAAGGACCUGACUUUCUCUAUCAACGCGAGGAAGAAUGGCCAGUGACACCGGACAAAAUGGUUGAACCUAUGGAUGAACUACGAGCGAAUAUUCACGGGCACACCGAGACUCAGAGGAUGGCAGUUCCGAUUAACAACUUUCAAAGUCUGAGAGGUAUGGUCCGAGCAACUGCACUCGCCAUUCGGUUUCUGAGGAACGCACGUCCGAAAUGCUUCACUCGAAUUAGUGGUGGUCUAACCAGUGAAGAAAUCCGCAAUGCUGAGGUUUUCCAUUUCCAUGCUGCGCAACAGGACGCCUUCCGAGAAGAGCUUUCUGUUCUAAUGAAAAACGAUCCCAGGCUAUUACUUCCCAAACGAAGCCCGCUUUAUAAACUUAAUCCCUUUGUCGAUGAGCAUGGAUUGAUUCGUAUGCGAGGCAGAACCGGACUGUGCGAGUUUCUGCCUCGGGAUGCUGUAAAUCCCAUAAUACUUCCUCGAGAACAUCCUGUCACACACCUUGUUGUCAAAAGCUACCACGAAAAGUUUCACCAUCGAAAUCAUGAAUCGGUCAUUAAUGAGAUCCGACAGAGAUUCUGCAUCAGUCGAUUACGCAGAGUAUAUGCGAAAAUAAGAUUCGAUUGCCUACACUGCAAGCUGCGAGAUGCUCGCCCACGCCCUCCACAAAUGGCUGAUCUGCCUCGCUGUCGUUUAGCAGCGUUCGUUCGUCCGUUCACUCACACCGGGGUAGAUUACUUUGGUCCCAUGGAAGUUGCAAUAGGGAGGAGGGUUGAGAAGAGAUGGGGAGUUCUUUUUACAUGCCUUUUUAUCCGUGCUGUUCAUAUUGAAGUAGCUAGCUCACUUACCACAAACUCUUGCAUUAUGGCAAUAAGAAAUUUCAUUGCACGCCGAGGAACUCCAGCCAUAUUCUAUAGUGACCGGGGAACAAACUUUAUUGGUUCGGACCGUGAACUGAAGCAGGCAUUAGAAAAGGUUGAUCAACAUAAAAUGGCCCAAGAGUUUGUGUCCUCGGAGACAUCCUGGCGCUUCAAUCCUCCAGCAGCUCCCCAUAUGGGAGGGAGCUGGGAGCGACUUAUACAGUCUGUCAAGCGAACUUUAUCUGAGCUACACCUGUCUCCCCGCCCAAGUGAUGAAGGGCUCAGAAACGCGUUGAUCGAAGUAGAGGGUAUCUUGAAUGCCCGACCACUCACUCACGUACCCAUAGAAGACGAAGCCAGUCCAGCUCUCACUCCAAACCAUUGGCUUCUGGGAAGCUCAGAUGGGGCCAAGCCAUGGUCACUUCUCGAUGAGAACUCUAUUGCUUUGAGACGUGGUUGGCAUUUGUCCCAAAAAUUCGCAAACCAAUUUUGGACCAGAUGGCUUCGAGAAUACCUUCCAGAAAUUACCAGGCGCUCGAAAUGGCAUCGAAGGGUUCGGCCAAUCGCUGAAGGAGACAUCGUUCUAAUCGUCGAUCCAAACUCCCCAAGGAAUUGCUGGCCAAAGGGGCGGGUCAUUGGUACAGUGAAUCGCGAUGGACAGGUACGGACUGUGACCAUUAAAACGUCAACUGGUAUAUACGAGAGACCAGCUGUGAAGGUGGCAGUGCUUGACAUAGAGCAUGAGACAAAAUUAGCUGACUCAGAGGCGGAGUCAGCGAACUAGGGGGGAGUGUCAUCGGAGCUGGGUGGUUCUGUGUGCACCUCCUCAUAGCGCAUCACACAUGCAGAAAGAGACGUCAUCAUGACAGUUUAGCGGAAAGAGCGAGAGAGAAAUGAUAGAUACGUCAGCGUAUCUGCUGACUUGCAGAAAUAGAAAUUGAGCGAACUCGAUAGCGUUAAGAGCUAAUUUCUGACGAUCCUAAAAUUAUAAAUCCAAAAAUCCUAAAAUUAAUAUUUCAAAAAUUUAAUAAUUAAUAAAAACCUAAAUAUUAAUGCAGUGAAAAACUUAUUUAACGGAAAUAAGUGUAUACGGCAGAGUGGUUACGGUGAGCGAGGUAAACUGAAUUUAUUGUAUUUCUUACAAAUUAAUUUAAUAUUCAGAUAGUAAUUCACGUGGCAACAACUAUCGACGGAAUAAACGACACACAGAGACGGAAAAGAUAAUCGAAGCACUAAAACGAAACAUACCCCUCCACGCCGCCAGUAUGGUUUGCCGAGAGCGAAGAAACCAGUAUAACCAACGCUGUACAAAUACUUACAAACACCCGUGGCCACGAUAAUCAUGUUAUAAAUCAGGUCGAUAUACUG